GAUGAACGCUAGCUACAGGCUUAACACAUGCAAGUCGAGGGGAAACGAUAGAGAAAGCUUGCUUUUUCUAGGCGUCGACCGGCGCACGGGUGAGUAACGCGUAUCCAACCUGCCCAUCACUUGGGGAUAACCUUGCGAAAGUAAGACUAAUACCCAAUGAUAUCUCUAGAAGACAUCUGAAGGAGAUUAAAGAAUUAUCGGUGAUGGAUGGGGAUGCGUCUGAUUAGCUUGUUGGCGGGGUAACGGCCCACCAAGGCGACGAUCAGUAGGGGUUCUGAGAGGAAGGUCCCCCACAUUGGAACUGAGACACGGUCCAAACUCCUACGGGAGGCAGCAGUGAGGAAUAUUGGUCAAUGGACGAGAGUCUGAACCAGCCAAGUAGCGUGCAGGAUGACGGCCCUAUGGGUUGUAAACUGCUUUUAUAAGGGAAUAAAGUGAGUCUUGUGAGACUUUUUGCAUGUACCUUAUGGAUAAGGACCGGCUAAUUCCGUGCCAGCCGCCGCAGUAA
rnacentral:rRNA from 1 species